rnacentral:rRNA from 1 species
AUUGAACGCUGGCGGCAUGCCUAACACAUGCAAGUCGAACGGUGUUCCCGCUUCGGCGGGGGCAUAGUGGCGCACGGGUGAGUAACGCGUGGGAACCUGCCCCGUGGUACGGAACAACUCCGGGAAACUGGAGCUAAUACCGUAUGUGUCCCCUGGGACAAAGAUUGCAUCGCCAUGGGAGGGGCCCGCGUAGGAUUAGGUAGUUGGCGGGGUAACGGCCCACCAAGCCCGCGAUCCUUAGCUGGUCUGAGAGGAUGAUCAGCCACACUGGGACUGAGACACGGCCCAGACUCCUACGGGAGGCAGCAGUGGGGAAUAUUGGACAAUGGGCGCAAGCCUGAUCCAGCAAUGCCGCGUGAGUGAUGAAGGCCUUCGGGUUGUAAAGCUCUUUCGCACGCGACGAUGAUGACGGUAGCGUGAGAAGAAGCCCCGGCUAACUUCGUGCCAGCCGCCGCAGUAA